UACGUAGGGGGCGAGCGUUGUCCGGAGUUACUGGGCGUAAAGCGCUUGUAGGCGGUCCACCAAGUUUGGGGUGACAGUUGCCGACUUAAUCGGCAAAGUGCCUCAGAGACUGGCGGACUUGAGGGCCACAGAGGGACAUGGAACUCCAGGUGUAGUGGUGAAAUGCGUAGAUAUCUGGAAGAACACCAAAGGCGAAGGCAGUGACCUGGGUGGUCGCUGACGCUGAGAGGCGAAAGCCAGGGGAGCGAACGGG
rnacentral:rRNA from 1 species